rnacentral:sRNA from 1 species
CCUGGGUGUGGUGGUGCAAGCCAGUAGUCCCCACCCCUCGGGAGUCUGAGGCAGGAGGAUCCCUUGAGCCCAGGAGUCCAAGGCCAGCCUGGGCAAUGCAGUGAGGCUCUGUCUCCA